GCUCAGAUGACGCAGUGGCAGCAUGUGAGACUGCAGUUCUUAAAAAUCAUCGGUUUGACUCCGGUUCUGAGCC
rnacentral:tRNA from 1 species